GUAACCCACUCGACGAACUGAUUCAUACGGCAGGAGCGGGGGACCCAGGUAAGUCGCCGGACCGGAACGGCACACGUCGCACCGGAACGGCUAGGGGUGAAGCCGUGCCUUUCCCGAGGCACGGCCGGGCACCUCCCCGCCCGAACCCGACAGCUCACCUCGCAGGCGUCGGAGAGGACUU
rnacentral:sRNA from 2 species